GACGAACGCUGGCGGCGUGCUUAACACAUGCAAGUCGAACGCGCCUGUCCUCUGGGUUUCUGGGGGGUGGGUGAGUGGCGAACGGGUGAGUAACACGUGAGUAACCUGCCCCCUUCUUCGGGAUAACGGUCUGAAAGGGCUGCUAAUACCGGGUAUUCACUGGUCUCCGCAUGGGGUCUGGUGGAAAGGUUUUUUUCUGGUGGGGAUGGGCUCGCGGCCUAUCAGCUUGUUGGUGGGGUGAUGGCCCACCAAGGCUUUGACGGGUAGCCGGCCUGAGAGGGUGACCGGUCACAUUGGGACUGAGAUACGGCCCAGACUCCUACGGGAGGCAACAGUGGGGAAGAUUGCACAAUGGGCGCAAGCCUGAUGCAGCGACGCCGCGUGAGGGAUGGAGGCCUUCGGGUUGUGAACCUCUUUCGCCCGUGGUCAAGCCGCGACGUGGGUCGUGGUGAGGGUAGUGGGUAAAGAAGCGCCGGCUAACUACGUG
rnacentral:rRNA from 1 species